rnacentral:rRNA from 1 species
AAGGCUGUCGUUAUGUCUAAAAACAUGAUAUAGCAAGGGCCGGGCAAGACCGGUGCCAGCCGCCGCGGUAACACCGGCGGCUCGAGUGGUAACCGUUAUUAUUGGGUUUAAAGGGUCUGUAGCCGGCCGGAUAGGUCUCUUGGGAAAUCUGGCAGCUUAACUGUCAGGCUUUCAGGAGAUACUGUUCGGCUCGAGACCGGGAGAGGUGAGAGGUACUUCAGGGGUAGGGGUGAAAUCUUGUAAUCCUUGAAGGACCACCAGUGGCGAAGGCGUCUCACCAGAACGGAUCUGACGGCAAGGGACGAAAGCUAGGGGCACGAACCGGAUUAGAUACCCGGGUAGUCCUAGCCGUAAAUAAUACUCGCUAGGUGUCGGCCACGGUGCGACCGUGGUCGGUGCCGUAGGGAAACCGUGAAGCGAGCCACCUGGGAAGUACGGCCGCAAGGCUGA